GACGAACGCUGGCGGCGUGCUUAACACAUGCAAGUCGAACGGUGAAGCGCCUUCCUUUUUGGUGGGUGUGGAUGAGUGGCGAACGGGUGAGUAACACGUGAGUAACCUGCCCCCUUCUUCUGGAUAACCGCAUGAAAGUGUGGCUAAUACGGGAUAUUCUGGGUCUGUCGCAUGAUGGGUCUGGGAAAGAUAUUGUUUCGGUGGGGGAUGGGCUCGCGGCCUAUCAGCUUGUUGGUGGGGUGAUGGCCUACCAAGGCGGUGACGGGUAGCCGGCCUGAGAGGGUGGACGGUCACACUGGGACUGAGACACGGCCCAGACUCAUACGGGAGGCAGCAGUGGGGAAUAUUGCACAAUGGGCGAAAGCCUGAUGCAGCGACGCCGCGUGAGGGAUGGAGGCCUUCGGGUUGUGAACCUCUUUCGCCAGUGAAGCAGGCCUGCCUCGUUUGUGGGUGGGUUGACGGUAGCUGGAUAAGAAGCGCCGGCUAACUACGUG
rnacentral:rRNA from 1 species